UUAACAGAAAUUGCAGAGGUAAAAAUUACCUGUCUCCAUGAUUGUCACCUCUAGAGGGCAAUCAGUGAGCCUGUGAGCCCUUCCGUGUCACUCAUUGUAUGAUGCAACUUCCUGUAGUGUGGAAGAAGAGAAACUCCCCUUCCGGUUUUGUCGGUCCAUGCGUGGCAAUGCGAACACACGCGGAGAACCUGUUGAUCAAUCCUUGGCCAUCCACUCGAGCAGUGUGACAUCAGAGUGUAAUAUUCACUGACUGACAUCUUGUGUGCAGUCAUUUCACUUGAUCAGCGCUGGAGCUGCAGGCACUUCUGUUAACCCCUCUGCUGGCAGCACACUCAGACACACCUCUGCUCGCGCUGAGCACAACACACCCACACAGCAACAAGCCUGCAAACAAUCAGUCAUCAGAGCACCUGGACUUGACGAGGGGGAGCGGCAUAAAGACCAGCGGACCCAAGGAACCUUUGCCAGAACGUCGCUAACCUACCAGUAAGCAUCACGUCCGGCAUUCCUUUCCCAGUGAUUUCCUUGUCCUUGUUUUGCUCUCUCUCCGUGUUUCCCCCUGGUUCAUGCCCUUUUGUAUUUCCACAUUGACUCUCCUGACCUCCGUGAUCGUGCCUUGUCACUCGACACCCAUCUGGAUUCCUAACUGCCCUCCUCGAUCCACGACCUCCCUGCUCGGACCUAGACCACGCUGCCCUGCUCUUGCCCACGACCACUUGCCUGUCCACGAACUGCCUCUUCGCCUUUCCCCUUGGAUAACGACGAAAGAUACAACCAACAUUUACAGACAACAACCCUUGGUAACAUUUACAUUGUUAAUUUUACACGUAGUCAACACUCACUCACUUUGAGUAGCAUACACACGCCACAUAUUCAUCAAAGGUUUCAAAUAA